AUAUAACCUCUAUCAAACUCCAAGUUUAGCUCAAACUCUAAAGUCAAGGACAUCCUCAUUAGAAUGGCCCUUCAUCAUCAACAUAGUUGACCUCCUGCCCUGCAGCCUGUUCUUCUGUGUCCAGGAUUGGUUCCCUCCGGUGGGUUCUUGGUCUUGCUGACUUCAAGAAUGAAGCUGCAGACCUUCGCGGUGAGUGUUACAGCUCUUAAAAGUGGCAAGGACACAAAGAGUAAGCAGCAGCAAGAUUUAUUGUGAAGAGUGAAAGAGCAAAGCUUCCGUGUAAUGGGACCCGAGCAGGUUGCUCCUGCUGGCUGGUGGGGGAGGGGGGGGUUGGCCAGCUUUUAUUCUCUUAUUUGUCCCCACCCAUGUCCAACUGAUUGGUCCAUUUUACAGAGCGCUGAUUGAUCCAUUAUACAGAGCAUUGAUUGGUCCAUUUUAUAGAGUGCUGAUUGGUCCAUUUUACAGAGUGCUGACUGUUGCAUUUAUAAUCCUUUACUAGACACAGAGUGCUGAUUGGUGCAUUUAUAAUCCUUUAGCUAGACACAGAGUGCUGAUUGCUGCAUUUUUACAGAGUGCUGAUUGGUGCAUUUACAAUCCUUUAGCUAGACACAGAGCGCUGAUUGGCGUGUUUACAAUCCUCUAGCUAGACAGAAAAGUUCUCCAAGUCCCCACUCCACCCAGGAAGUCCAGCUGGCUUCACCGGUCACUUCCUCAAACCCAGUGUGGAAUGUGGUUACUUUUUUAGUUUGAAGCAGCUCCUGACAGACCCUAGGAACUUUAUAGAUGAAACUGAGUGAUCUUUCCUAAUUACCAUGCUAAAGUCUCCACCCUGAGAGAAACUAUAGCAUCAUUACCAUAACAUGCGACCUAUGUGCUGGCAUAAUGACUCGCUGCAUUCCCGCCACUGGGACCCCUCCUCUACAUGUGAUGAUACACCCUGUCCCCUCUUCAUUGCCCAGUGAAGCCCUACUGUCACUUUCCCUCGGGGAGACACCACUUUGGAGAUACUCCCAGCUACUCCGGAGGCUGAGGCGCGAGAAUCCAGAAUUGCUUGAACCUGGGAGGCAGAGGUUGGAGUGAGCUGAGAUCGCAAUCGCACCACUGCACUCUAGCCUGGGUGACAGAGUGAGACUCCAUCUCAGAAACAAACAAUCAAAUACUCCUACUAAUUAAAACCUGCAUUCUCAUGGACAGUUGUUUGCUGCUUUCCAGGCAAACGAACCCUGGUUUUACAGGGAACACAACCUUGAUUGCAUUUAAUUGUGAAAGACCCUGUGGACAUGGAAAUAGCAGGGUUGUCCUGGAAAGUACAAAAGGAGAGCCUGAACCAAAAGAAAGCAAUCUGAGAAGAGGCGCAAAGAAGCAAAGGUAAACUGACAGUAGCAGCGGACAUUUGAAUGCAAAUUUAUUUAAACUAUAAAUUAAUUAGAAAUAAAAUAUUUGAAAGUAUUUGAUUAGUGCUACGAUUGUUUUAGGUCUCAGUUUACAACUAAUCAAAAUAAUACUAAUGUUCAAAAAUUAUCCAGGUAUUCAGAUCUUUU
rnacentral:lncRNA from 1 species